GACAGAGGUGCCGAGCGUUAGGCGGAAUCACUGGGCUUAAAGCGUGUGUAGGCGGGCCGUUAAGUGUCUUGUGAAAUCCCCCGGCUCAACCGGGGAAUUGCUGGGCAUACUGGCGGUCUUGAGCAAUCUAGGGGCAGAUGGAACAAGUGGUGGAGCGGUGAAAUGCGUAGAUAUCACUUGGAACGCCAAAGGUGAAGACAGUCUGCUGGGGAUUGCUGACGCUGAGACACGAAAGCCAGGGGAGCGAACGGG
rnacentral:rRNA from 1 species